AGGCGUCUCCCGGCGUUCCCUGACUUACGUCAUCAUCUUCUCCUUGAGAGUGUAGGAGCUUUCUGCCUUUUAAAUCCAUCCCUGACAGGUAGCGUAAUGUGUUCCGCGAGUUGAUUGGGAACUUCUGGGCAGGAUGGAAUGUUUGGAAACUGUUGCCCUGCUGCUUGCUGUCCCUGCUCGGGGCUGUCAAGAAAAGCAAGGCUCCCAAGUCCUUGUCCUGCAGCCAUGAUCAAUCAGCAACUCCACUUAUAUGGUGAUUUAUUAAAGUCUUUGGAACCCAUAA